UACCUGGUUGAUCCUGCCAGUAGUCAUAUGCUUGUCUCAAAGAUUAAGCCAUGCAAGUCUAAGUACGAGCUCUCGUACAGUGAAACUGCGAAUGGCUCAUUAAAUCAGUUAUGGUUCAUUUGAUCGUACAGUUUACUUGGAUAACUGUGGUAAUUCUAGAGCUAAUACAUGCGAGAAGCGCCGACCUCGCGGGAGGCGUGCAUUUAUCAGACCAAAAACCGGCCGCGUCUUCGGGCGCGUUCGCCUUGGUGACUCUGGAUAACUUUGCGGAUCGCACGGUCUAGCACCGGCGACGGAUCAUUCAAGUGUCUGGAUUCCCGAGCCGUGAGCCCGAGUCCCCAGAGUCGAAGUCCCGAUGUGCGUAUAAGCUAUAUGCUAUAAGCUAUAAGCUGUAUGCUGUAUGCUGUAUGCUGUAUGCUGUAUGCUGUAUGCUGUAUGCUGUAUGCUGUAUGCUGUAUGCUGUAUGCUGUAUGCUGUAUGCUGUAUGCUGUAUGCUGUAUGCUGUAUGCUGUAUGCUGAAGUACGAAACGAAUGCACUCAACGGUGUGAGUCGUACAAGUGUCCUUGUAGGCACCGUGCAUACAAGUCGGUCGCUCGGCUGGUCUUUUUUUU
rfam:Ciona savignyi cont_30527, whole genome shotgun sequence.